UGGAGGCGUAGGCUCAGGGGUGGGACCAGGAGCUCCGCUUCCGGUGGCAGGGUCUGGGGAAGGGGCGGCAGGCGCCAUGUCCGGCCGCGAAGGUGGCAAGAAGAAGCCGCUGAAGCAGCCCAAGAAGCAGUCCAGGGAGAUGGACGAGGACGAAAAGGCAUUCAAGCAGAAGCAAAAAGAGGAGCAGAAG